UAUGGCCAUAUCACGUUGAAACACCGUUUUUUUCGUACGAUCACUGAAGUUAAGCAACAUCGGCCUGGUUAGUACCUAAAUGGGUGACCGCUUAGGAAUAUCAGGUUCUGUAAG